rnacentral:rRNA from 1 species
CCUACGGGCGGCUGCAGUGGGGAAUAUUGGACAAUGGGGGGAACCCUGAUCCAGCCAUGCCGCGUGUGUGAAGAAGGCCCUCGGGUUGUAAAGCACUUUCAGUGAGGAAGAACGCCUGGUGGUUAAUACCCAUCAGGAAAGACAUCACUCACAGAAGAAGCACCGGCUAACUCCGUGCCAGCAGCCGCGGUAAUACGGAGGGUGCGAGCGUUAAUCGGAAUUACUGGGCGUAAAGCGCGCGUAGGUGGCUUGAUAAGCCGGUUGUGAAAGCCCCGGGCUCAACCUGGGAACGGCAUCCGGAACUGUCAAGCUAGAGUGCAGGAGAGGAAGGUAGAAUUCCCGGUGUAGCGGUGAAAUGCGUAGAGAUCGGGAGGAAUACCAGUGGCGAAGGCGGCCUUCUGGACUGACACUGACGCUGAGGUGCGAAAGCGUGGGUAGCAAACAGGAUUAGAUACCCUUGUAGUC